rnacentral:lncRNA from 1 species
UGGAAAUCUUUGAAAAAAAAGGAUAAAAAUCAAUAGAGAAACAGAUUCCUACACUAUAACUCGUGUAUUAAGAUAUUUCUCCACUCUCGACAGUUAAAUUUUAGUUAUUUAAAGAGCUCGGCAAGCCUCGCGCUUUAAAUAAUAAAAUUUAACUGUCUCGAGUGGAGAAAUAUCGUAAUACACUUGUUGCAGUGUUGGAAUCUAUAUAUAUC